GACGAACGCUGGCGGCGUGCUUAACACAUGCAAGUCGAACGGAAAGGCCCUGCUUUUGUGGGGUGCUCGAGUGGCGAACGGGUGAGUAACACGUGAGUAGCCUGCCCUUGACUUUGGGAUAACUUCAGGAAACUGGGGCUAAUACCGGAUAGGAGCUCCUGCUGCAUGGUGGGGGUUGGAAAGUUUCGGCGGUUGGGGAUGGACUCGCGGCUUAUCAGCUUGUUGGUGGGGUAGUGGCUUACCAAGGCUUUGACGGGUAGCCGGCCUGAGAGGGUGACCGGCCACAUUGGGACUGAGAUACGGCCCAGACUCCUACGGGAGGCAGCAGUGGGGAAUAUUGCACAAUGGGCGGAAGCCUGACGCAGCAACGCCGCGUGCGGGAUGACGGCCUUCGGGUUGUAAACCGCUUUCGCCUGUGACGAAGCGUGAGUGACGGUAAUGGGUAAAGAAGCACCGGCUAACUACGUG
rnacentral:rRNA from 1 species